GACGAACGCUGGCGGCGUGCUUAACACAUGCAAGUCGAGCGGAAAGGCCCUCCGGGGUACUCGAGCGGCGAACGGGUGAGUAACACGUGAGUAAUCUGCCCUUCACUCUGGGAUAGCCACCGGAAACGGUGAUUAAUACCGGAUAUGACACGUCCCUGCAUGGGGUGCGUGUGGAAACUUUUUGGGUGGGGGAUGUGCUCGCGGCCUAUCAGCUUGUUGGUGGGGUAAUGGCCUACCAAGGCUUCGACGGGUAGCCGGCCUGAGAGGGUGACCGGCCACACUGGGACUGAGACACGGCCCAGACUCCUACGGGUGGCAG
rnacentral:rRNA from 1 species